UAAAGUCUGGCCUGCCCACUGAUUUAAUUUAAAGGGCCGCGGUAUACUGACCGUGCGAAGGUAGCAUAAUCAUUAGUCUUUUAAUUGAAGGCUUGUAUGAAUGGUUGGACAAAAAGUAAGCUGUCUCAAUUAUAAUAAUUGAAUUUAACUUUUAAGUGAGAAGGCUUAAAUAGAUUAAGGGGACGAUAAGACCCUAUAAAGCUUGACAAUAAAUCGUUUAUAUUAUAAACUGUUAGUGUAACUUGAUUUUAAACGGUGUUUGUUGCGUUGGGGCGACGGGAAUAUAAAAGGUAACUGUUCUUAUAACAUUUAAUAACAGAAAUAUCUGAAAAAUUAAUGAUCCUUUUUUAAAGAUCAUAAGAUUAAGUUACUUUAGGGAUAACAGCGUAAUCUUCUUUAAGAGUCCAUAUCGACAGGAAGGGUUGCGACCUCGAUGUUGAAUUAAGGUAUCCUUAUAAUGCAGCAGUUAUAAAGGAAGGUCUGUU
rnacentral:rRNA from 1 species